rnacentral:rRNA from 1 species
AUCAGCCAAACUCCGAAUGCCGGUGAGUGAGAGCGCGGCAGUGAGACUGCGGGCGAUAAGGUUCGUAGUCGAGAGGGAAACAGCCCAGAUCGCCAGCUAAGGUCCCUAAGCGUGUACUAAGUGGAAAAGGAUGUGGGGUCGCGAAGACAACCAGGAGGUUGGCUUAGAAGCAGCCACCCUUGAAAGAGUGCGUAAUAGCUCACUGGUCAAGUGAUCCUGCGCCGACAAUGUAGCGGGGCUCAAGUACACCACCGAAGCUGCGGCAUUCACGCAAUAGCCCCCAGUUGAUCCAAGGAUUUUCUGGCAGGUGUGUGGAUGGGUAGGGGAGCGUCGUGUGGCCAUGGAAGCGGCAGGGUGACCUAGCCGUGGAGGCCACACGAGUGAGAAUGCAGGCAUGAGUAGCGAAAGACGAGUGAGAAACUCGUCCGCCGAAUGACCAAGGGUUCCUGGGCCAGGUUAAUCCGCCCAGGGUGAGUCGGGACCUAAGACGAGGCCGACAGGCGUAGCCGAUGGACAACGGGUUGAUAUUCCCGUACCCGUGUGAACGCGCCCAUGGUGAAUCAGUGAUACUAACCAUCCUGAAGCCACGAGAAGACCUUCGGGUCUCGAGUUGGUGGAUGCAUGGGACCUGAUCUGGUAGUAGCCAAGCGAUGGGGUGACGCAGGAAGGUAGCUGAGCCAGUCAGUGGUAAUACUGGUGUAAGCGUGUAGGGCGUGACCUAGGCAAAUCCGGGUCGCACACAAGCCUGAGACGUGAUGCGUAGCCGAUUGAGGCGAAUUCAGUGAUCCUAUGCUGCCGAGAAAAGCCUCUAGCGAGCUUUCACACGGCCCGUACCCCAAACCGACACAGGUGGUCAGGUAGAGAAUACUAAGGCGAUCGAGAUAACUAUGGUUAAGGAACUCGGCAAAAUGCCCCCGUAACUUCGGGAGAAGGGGGGCCCUGUCUGGUGACGACAUUUACUGUCUGAGCUGGGUGGGGCCGCAGAGACCAGUGAGAAGCGACUGUUUACUAAAAACACAGGUCCGUGCGAAGUCGUAAGA